ACAUCUCUACAUAGAGAUUAGUUGUUUUUUUUUUUUUUCUCCUUCCUUUCUUCCUGUACUAGGGAUUGAACCCAGGGGCACUUUACCUGUGAAGUAUAUCCCCUGACCUUUUUAUUUUUAUUUUGAGAUGGGGGUCUCGUUAAGUUGCAGAAUCUGUCCUUGAACUGCCCAUCUUCCUGUCGCAGUCUCUUAAGUUGCUGGCUUACAUAUGUGCUCCAACAUGUCCAGCAGAAUUCAUGUAUGUGUUUCAUUUUUUGUGUGUCUGUGUGUGUGGUAAUGGGGGUUGAACCCAAUGGUACUCUAGUGAGCUACAUCUCCAAAUCACCAGCCAUUUUUUUUGUUUUGUUUUGAGACGGUCUCACAAAAGUGCACUCUUUCUGUCAUAGCCUGGUGAGUUUCUAGAAUUGGACCACCUCACCUGCUCAUUAUGCUUUUUUUUGUUUUUGUUUUUUUUUAGUUGGGCACAAUACCUUUAUUUUAUUUAUUUUUAUGUGCUGCUAAACCUAGUACCUCACAUAUUCUUGGCAAGUGCUGUACCCCUGAGAUAUAACUCUGACCCUCAAUUAUGCUUUUUAAAAAUUUUUUUUUAUAGUUGUAGAUGAAUACAACAUCUUUAUUUACCUUUAUGUGGUGCUGAGGAUAGAACCCAGGGUCUCACACAUGCUAAGCAAGUACUCUACCACUGAGCUACAAUCCCAGCCCAUCAGUUAUGCCCUUUUGUUCAAUUGUUUAUCUUUGAGUUUCUCGCCUUUAAAAUCUGGUUUUUAGGGGCUGGGGAUGUGGCUCAAGCGGUAGCGCACUCACCUGGUAUGUAUGCGGCCCGGGUUCGAUCCUCAGCACCACAUGCACCGCCAAAAACUUAAAAAAAAAAAAAUUGCUUUUUGGGGAAAAGGAAACUAAUUUUUUAAAAAAUUUUUAUUAGUUAUUGAUGGACCUUUAUUUAUUUUUUGUUUAUAUGUGGUGCUGAUAAUCGAACCCAGUGCCUCACACAUGCUAGGCAAGCACUCUACCACUGAGCCACAACCCCAGCCUCAGGAAACUAAUCUUUAAAAUAUCAGUGCCAGAUUUAAAA
rnacentral:lncRNA from 1 species